rnacentral:rRNA from 1 species
CAGCAGCCGCGGGAAUACGUAGGUCCCGAGCGUUGUCCGGAUUUAUUGGGCGUAAAGCGCGCGCAGGUGGUUUAAUAAGUCUGAUGUGAAAGCCCACGGCUCAACCGUGGAGGGUCAUUGGAAACUGUUAAACUUGAGUGCAGGAGAGAAAAGUGGAAUUCCUAGUGUAGCGGUGAAAUGCGUAGAUAUUAGGAGGAACACCGGCGGCGAAGGCGGCUUUCUGGAUUGUAACUGACACUGAGGCACGAAAGCGUGGGUAGCAAACAGGAUUAGAUACCCCUGUAGUCCCUGUCUCUUAUAC